CAAUAGCGUAUAUUUAAGUUGUUGCAGUUAAAAAGCUCGUAGUUGGAUUUCGGGUGGGACGCAGCGGUCUCGCAUUGCGCUUGUACUGCUGCAGCCCUCCUUCUUGCCGGGGGCGGCCUCUCGGACUUCACUGUCUGGGGGUCAGAAUCGGCGAUGUUACUUUGAGUAAAUUAGAGUGUUCAAAGCAAGCUUACGCUCUGAAUAUAAUAGCAUGGGAUAACACGACAGGACUCUGGCCUAUCGUGUUGGUCUAUAGGACCAGAGUAAUGAUUAAGAGGGACAGUCGGGGGCAUUCGUAUUCCGUUGUCAGAGGUGAAAUUCUUGGAUUUACGGAAGACGAACAUCUGCGAAAGCAUUUGCCAAGGAUGUUUUCAUUGA
rnacentral:rRNA from 1 species